rnacentral:rRNA from 1 species
GCUCUUUCGCACGCGACGAUGAUGACGGUAGCGUGAGAAGAAGCCCCGGCUAACUUCGUGCCAGCAGCCGCGGUAAUACGAAGGGGGCUAGCGUUGUUCGGAAUUACUGGGCGUAAAGGGCGCGUAGGCGGUUUAUCAAGUCAGGCGUGAAAGCCCCGGGCUCAACCUGGGAAUUGCGUUUGAUACUGGUAGACUUGAGUUCGGGAGAGGUGAGUGGAAUUCCCAGUGUAGAGGUGAAAUUCGUAGAUAUUGGGAAGAACACCGGUGGCGAAGGCGGCUCACUGGACCGAUACUGACGCUGAGGCGCGAAAGCGUGGGGAGCAAACAGGAUUAGAUACCCUGGUAGUCCACGCCGU